rnacentral:rRNA from 2 species
UUGCCCUAGUAACGGCGAGUGAAGCGGCAACAGCUCAAAUUUGAAAUCUGGCUCUUUCAGGGUCCGAGUUGUAAUUUGCAGAGGGCGCUUUGGCGUUGGCAGCGGUCCAAGUUCUUUGGAACAGGACGUCACAGAGGGUGAGAAUCCCGUACGUGGUCGCUAGCCUUCGCCGUGUAAAGCCCCUUCGACGAGUCGAGUUGUUUGGGAAUGCAGCUCUAAAUGGGAGGUAAAUUUCUUCUAAAGCUAAAUACUGGCCAGAGACCGAUAGCGCACAAGUAGAGUGAUCGAAAGAUGAAAAGCACUUUGGAAAGAGAGUCAAAUAGCACGUGAAAUUGUUGAAAGGGAAGCGCUUGCAGCCAGACUUGCCUGUAGUUGCUUAUCUGGACUUUUGUCCGGUGCACUCUUCUGCGGGCAGGCCAGCAUCAGUUUGGGCGGUUGGAUAAAGGUCUCUGUCAUGUACCUCCUUUCGGGGAGGCCUUAUAGGGGAGACGACAUGCAACCAGCCUGGACUGAGGUCCGCGCAUCUGCUAGGAUGCUGGCGUAAUGGCUGUAAGCGGCCCGUCUUGAAACACGGACCAAGGAGUCUAACAUCUAUGCGAGUGUUUGGGUGUCAAGCCCAGACGCGUAAUGAAAGUGAACGGAGGUGGGAACCCUUUGGGUGCACCAUCGACCGAUCCUGAUGUCUUCGGAUGGAUUUGAGUAAGAGCAUGGCUGUUGGGACCCGAAAGAUGGUGAACUAUGCUUGAAUAGGGUGAAGCCAGAGGAAACUCUGGUGGAGGCUCGCAGCGGUUCUGACGUGCAAAUCGAUCGUCAAAUUU